ACAUACCACUGGCAUGUUGGGAUUCUGAGUGCGCCGUCCGUGGCCACCUGACCACUGUUCGCUGAGUUUUGUGAGCC
rnacentral:sRNA from 1 species